rnacentral:rRNA from 1 species
CCCUUAGACGUCCUGGGCCGCACGCGCGCUACACUGACGAUGGCAACGAGUUUUUCCUUCGCCGAAAGGUGUGGGUAAUCUUUUGAAACAUCGUCGUGCUGGGGAUAGAUCAUUGCAAUUUUUGAUCUUGAACGAGGAAUUCCUAGUAAGCGCGAGUCAUCAGCUCGCGUUGAUUACGUCCCUGCCCUUUGUACACACCGCCCGUCGCUACUACCGAUUGAAUGGUUUAGUGAGGACUCCUGAUUGGCGCCGCCGCCCCGGCAACGGAGCAGCGGACUGCCGAAAAGUUGUUCAAACUUGAUCAUUUAGAGGAAGUAAAAGUCGUAACA